AUGAAUCCAACAAAAUCAAGGAAAUUUGUUAGCGCGAGAGAGUACUAUUGCUUCAAGUUGUGUGUCUGGAAGAAGCUUUUUAACAUCAUCUUGUUUGGGGGGCGCCUUUUCCAACAGUGGGUUGUUGACAUGUACAUCAAGAUUGAGACAAUGAGGCUUGACUGGUAUUCAAAGCCAGCAAAUCAAAAGGUUAUACACGCUGACCUGUACCAGGGUCUUGUUGACACCGUCGUUGCUGGCGAGUCACGCGGUGAUCGGAUUGGCAAGAGAAUCGUGCUUCCACGUACAUUUCCUGGUGGUGACCGUGACAUGCAGCGCAGGUUUCUGGAUGCGAUGGCAAUAUUUCAACGUUGGGGUAAACCGGAUUAUUUUCUCACGAUGACAUGCAAUCCCUACUGGGAGGAGAUAACGCAGGAAUUGUUGCCUGGACAGCUGCCACAAGACCGCCCAGACCUUGUGGCAAGAGUAUACAGAGCUAAGCAACGAAAUAUGAUGGACUUACUAACUAAGGGUAAGCAUUUCAGAGAAGUCGCAGCUUAUGUACAUGUCACAGAGUUUCAGAAGCGAGGUCUCCCGCAUGAGCAUAUACUUCUAAUCAUGAAAGCAAAAAGCAAGUUAAGGACCCCAGAUGACUAUGAUAGGGUGAUAUCUGCAGAGAUACCCGACAAAAAGAAAUAUCUUGUCCUCCAUGAUCUGGUAGUCAAACACAUGUUGCACGGCCCAUGUGGUGCACUCCAGAAAUGCCCUUGCAUGAUAGAUGGACAAUGUCGAUUUCAUUACCCGCGAGAUUUCUGUAAUGCUACAUUACAAGGGAAAGACUCAUAUCCCAUCUAUAGAAGGAGGGACGGCGGGGUUCGAGUAAGGAUCGGAGCAGAUUUGGACAAUAGAUGGGUGGUCCCUUACAACCCCUUUCUGCUUAUGAAAUACAACUGUCAUAUAAAUGUCGAAGCAUGCUCAAGCAUCAAGGCAGUCAAGUACUUAUUCAAGUACAUCUACAAAGGGCAUGAUAAGGCAUCAUUUGCAUUCGAGCAGGAUAUUAUCAAUGAUGGGGGAAUCAUUAAUGAAAUUCGUCAAUACAGGGAUGCACGCUAUAUAUCUCCUCCAGAAGCUAUUUACAGGAUUUUUGGGUUUAAAAUGUUUGGUGUUAGUCCAUCUGUGUUACAGCUGCAGCUUCAUUUGCCAAACAUGCACACAGUCGCAUUUAAGGGUUAUGAAAAUCUGGAAGAUGUUGUCGCUCGCCCAACUUCUUCCAAAUCCAUGCUUACCGAGUACUUUGAGAUGAACAAGAAGUAUCCAGCGGCACGAAAAUGGUUGUACAGAGAGUUCCCAGAACAUUAUAGGUGGAUUGCCGCUAAUAAAAAGUGGCAAACGAGAAGAAGUAAGAGAUCACAGAUUGGAAGACUGGUGUAUGCACACCCUGCUGAAGGAGAGAGGUACUACUUGCGGGUGCUCCUAAGUCAUGUCCGAGGUGCCACUUCAUUUGAUGAUUUAAAAACAGUAAAUGGCAAGCCAUGCACUUCCUUCAGAGAGGCAUGUGAGCACUUAGGCCUCAUUGAGCAUGACAGGACACUGGAUGAUUGCAUGACGGAGGCAGCGACAUUUCAAAUGCCUUCUACUCUUAGACGGUUGUUUGCGACUAUACUGGUAUUCUGUGAGGCAACACAAAUCCGUCAAUUGUGGGACAAACAUCUACCAUCGAUGGCUGAAGAUUACCGCCGCACUAAGUCGAACGAGGCAACACUUGAGCAGAUGGUCCUUAGAGAUGUCAGGGAUCUGGUGCAAUCCAUGGGUAAGGAUAUUAAAAUGUAUGGACUUCCAGAUCUGGUUGACACAGAUGGUUCUUCUGACGCCGAGUAUAGAGAGGUAAUAGAGGAGAGACAAGUUAGAGUUGACCAAGAGCAUCUAGAUCUAUUUAGCUGUUUGAACAGUGAACAAAUGGAUGGUUUCAACGACAUGAUGGAUCAUGUGACGAACCAAAAAAGCCAGAUAUUUUUUGUUGAUGGUCCAGGAGGCACUGGGAAGACGUACCUGUACAAGGCAUUGCUUGCAAAGGUCCGUUCGAUGGGCCUAAUAGCGAUCGCAACUGCUACAUCAGGUAUAGCGGCGUCAAUAAUGCCUGGAGGCCGGACUGCGCACUCCAGGUUCAAAAUUCCAAUCAAGCUCACUAACAACAACAUGUGUGGUUUCACAAAGCAGAGUGGUACGGCAGAGUUGCUUAAACAGGCGUCCUUGAUAAUUUGGGAUGAAGUUGCUAUGACAAAGCGUCAAGCAGUUGAGACGCUUGACAGAUCGCUACAAGAUAUAAUGGAAUGUCCUCUGCCGUUUGGUGGAAAGGUUGUUGUCUUUGGUGGGGAUUUCAGGCAGGUCCUCCCCGUUGUUACACGAGGGACAAGAGCACAGAUCACGGAUGCUACACUGUUGAGAUCCUAUCUGUGGGAUAAGAUCCGCAAGAUACGCCUCACGCGCAAUAUGCGGGCACAGGCGGACCCUUGGUUCUCCGAAUACCUCCUAAGGAUUGGCAAUGGAACGGAAGAAACUAUUGGUGACGACUAUGUGCGUCUCCCUGAAGACAUUGUGAUUGGUUAUACUGAGGAUGAAGAACCUAUUAACAAGCUCAUCGAAGAUGUCUUCCCAUCCCUGCACACCAAUGCUAGGUCGAGGGAGUACAUGAGCAAACGUGCAAUUCUCUCGACCAAAAACGAGCAUGUGGAUGACCUGAAUGACAAGAUGAUCUCUAGGUUUCCGGGAGAAGAAAAGGUAUAUCAUAGCUUUGACUCUAUCGAGGAUGACUUCCAGAAUAAUUACACGAUUGAUUUUCUGAACUCCAUCACACCAAAUGGCUUGCCCCAUGUCUUGAAAGUAAAAAUCAACUGCCCGAUCAUUUUGCUACGGAACCUCGACCUCAUAAUGGCUUGUGUAAUGGAACACGGCUUAUGA
rnacentral:rRNA from 1 species